GCAUCGAUGAAGAACGCAGCGAAAUGCGAUAAGUAAUGUGAAUUGCAGAAUUCAGUGAAUCAUCGAAUCUUUGAACGCACCUUGCGCUCCUUGGUAUUCCGAGGAGCAUGCCUGUUUGAGUGUCAUGAAAUUCUCAACCUACAAGCCUUUUCGGAGGUCUUUGUACGGCUUGGACUUGGAGGAUCAUUGUCGGCAGCGAUGUCGGCUCCUCUUAAACGUAUUAGCUAGUUCUCGCGGAACGGCUCUCGGUGUGAUAAUUGUCUACGCCGUGGUCGUGCCGGGUACAUGGACAAGCUUCUAAACCGGUCACCCCUUGUGAGAGACACAUAUCUUGACAUCUGACCUCAAAUCAGGUAGGACUACCCGCUGAACUUAAGCAUAUCAAUAAGCGGAGG
rnacentral:rRNA from 1 species